rnacentral:rRNA from 1 species
GACGAACGCUGGCGGCGUGCUUAACACAUGCAAGUCGAACGGAAAGGCCCUGCUUUUGUGGGGUGCUCGAGUGGCGAACGGGUGAGUAACACGUGAGUAACCUGCCCUUGACUUUGGGAUAACUUCAGGAAACUGGGGCUAAUACCGGAUAGGAGCUCCUGCUGCAUGGUGGGGGUUGGAAAGUUUCGGCGGUUGGGGAUGGACUCGCGGCUUAUCAGCUUGUUGGUGGGGUAGUGGCUUACCAAGGCUUUGACGGGUAGCCGGCCUGAGAGGGUGACCGGCUAAGGGGAGGAGGGGGAGCGGCCGAGAUGGAGAGGGGGGGCGGCGGCGGGGAAGACGGCAGACGGGGCGGAGCCCGGAGGCAGCAGGGCGGGGGGGGUGAGGGCGGCCUCCGAGUUGGACCCUGCUGCCGCGGGUGACGAGGCAGGGGCGACGGAAGUGGGAAAAGAAGCACCGGCUAACUACGGGCCAGCAGCCGGGGUAAUAUGCGGAAGAGACCACUUCUGAAA